ACUCCAAGGCUGCAGUUAACUUAAUAACAAAUGUAAGCACAGUUAGAUAAAUUAAUUUCAAGGUCAAGCAAGCUGACAAUGGAAAAUGGAUGCAAGUGGCAGGUAUUUACAUGCAACAGGCUUAAAGAAGGCAGAGCUGCAGUGUCUGCUGGUCCUUGGCUGCUGAACCAUACCAGCUGCAAGCACAGACAGAGCCUAAAGAUAAAUUACAACUCAGAUCCUGAGCAUCUUCCCCCCGAACCAAACCACCCCAGGGCUUUGGGAAAUUGCAAUCCACAUCCUGAGAUGAGCUUCACAGCUGGCCCCUACCUCUGUGAAGUUCCCGAACUUCAAUUCUGGCUCAGAGUCCUGAAUUUGGAGACUUAAUUAUAGCACUGUCAUUCAGAGCAAAAUCUUCACAGGCCGGGGUAUUGCCAUUACUUGCCAGAUGCAUCCACACCCUGGUACUGAUUACAUGCAUUACUGACCUCAGCUGAACCAUGAGAACAAUAAGGCUAGCCCUGGUCAGGAAUCUUUCUGACAAAACCUGGCUUCACUCGAAGGCACAGAUCUGAAUCAAACGCACCUCAGAGACACUUGCAGCAUGCACUGAGCCCAGACAAGUCACAGGCAGGCCUGGUGUGCCAGCUGCCUGCCCACUCUCGGUGGCUGACUAAGGACUGUCAGGCAGCAGAAGAAGCCAUGCUGCUGGCUGCCUCAAGGCCAGGACCAGUGUGGAAACUAAUUUCUGCUUGAAUUGAACUUCAGCACGUGCCAAAGGGCUUUGCAAAGUAGGGCCGGAGCUGUAUGGAACUGGACACCAAGUACUUUUUCUUAUGCUUGUUGAUACAGAACACUUGAAAAUCUCCCCUGGAAAAUCGAUCACUUGGCCAUAAAUAAAGAGGCAGAUCUGAUGCUUCUGAUCAUCACCACUGGAUUCCUCUAAUGUGAACAGGAUUUCAUUAAAUACAUUUUCUGUACAGGAGCACCUGUAACUAUUCACAGCAUCUUUUCAUCCACAGCCUUCAAACAGGACUCUCAGCCUUUUCCUCCUGCGUGCAGGCAAUGCAGGGUAUGUUUCAAUCUCAUUAUGUUACGUUACGUAGUGAAAUUCUGAUUUUGCUCAACAAGCUCUUUGCAGAGUGGAUGUGGCAACAUGCUGGACAUCAGUCCUGUCAGAAGAUAUAUACACAGACCUGAAACUUUCCAGGCUUUUGGCCCCUGCUUCCUUGAGUCACCAAUCUCAUCAACAACACUAAGGGAAGUUAGCCACAAAGGAGCAAACGGCACGAAGAAACAAAAAGCAGAAACCGAGGUUCAGCACCACUGCACCCUGCCAUGCAGCACUAUCCCACCAGUAAUACUUUCAUUUGAUUAGACUGAUUGGCUUCUAUUCCAUAUUACUUAAGCCUCAAACCAUUAUGACCUAUUGAAAAUAAUUGGUAGUGACAGUUUCAAAUUUAAUAUUUAAUACAGUGGUUAAAUGGAA